GCUGGCGGCAGGCUUAACACAUGCAAGUCGAGCGCUCGUAGCAAUACGAGAGCGGCAGACGGGAGAGUAACACGUGGGAACGUACCCUUCGGUUCGGAAUAACCCAGGGAAACUUGGGCUAAUACCGGAUACGUCCGUAAGGAGAAAGAUUUAUCGCCGAGGGAUCGGCCCGCGUCCGAUUAGCUAGUUGGUGAGGUAAUGGCUCACCAAGGCGACGAUCGGUAGCUGGUCUGAGAGGAUGAUCAGCCUCACUGGGACUGAGACACGGCCCAGACUCCUACGGGAGGCAGCAGUGGGGAAUAUUGGACAAUGGGCGCAAGCCUGAUCCAGCCAUGCCGCGUGGGUGAUGAAGGCCUUAGGGUUGUAAAGCCCUUUCGGCGGGGAAGAUAAUGACGGUACCCGCAGAAGAAGCCCCGGCUAACUUCGUGCCAGCAGCCGCGGUAAUACGAAGGGGGCUAGCGUUGCUCGGAAUCACUGGGCGUAAAGCGCACGUAGGCGGGUCUUUAAGUCAGGGGUGAAAUCCUGGA
rnacentral:rRNA from 1 species